GGGCCUGUAGCUCAGUAGGUUAGAGCGCACGCCUGAUAAGCGUGAGGUCGGCGGUUCGAAUCUGCCCAGGCCCACGA
rnacentral:tRNA from 1 species